rnacentral:rRNA from 1 species
ACCCAGAGGCUGCUUUCAAAACUGCCGCGCUCGAGUGCGAGAGAGGUCAGUGGAAUUGCAGGUGUAGCGGUGAAAUGCGUAGAUAUCUGCAGGAACACCCGUGGCGAAGGCGGCUGACUGGAUCGCAACUGACACUGAGGAACGAAAGCUAGGGGAGCAAACAGGAUUAGAUACCCUGGUAGUCCUAGCCCUAAACCAUCGGAACUUGGGGUGGCUCGCGUAGGCGGGUCGUCCCGUAGCUAACGCGUUAAGUUCCGCGCCUGGGGAGUACGGUCGCAAGACUGAAACUCAAAGGAAUUGACGGGGGCCCGCACAAGCGGUGGAACAUGUGGUUCAAUUCGACGCAACGCGAAGAACCUUACCUGGGCUUGAACCGCUACUGACCAACGGUAGAAAUAUCGUCUUCCCGCAAGGGACAGUAGUAGAGGUGCUG